UUUUGUUUCUUGUUUCACACAAAGCACGACCACCACCAUUCACAAAUUCACCAUAUCACCAUUCUCUGGUAUUAAAAAAUAAAUUAAAUAAAAAAAGACAUGACAUUUUGCAUUGUUACACCUCUACUUUUUCUCCCAUUUGAAACGACUCACAUGCUUUUCCUUCAGUUCCUCAGAAAAUGUGUUGUUCAUCAUACUAUUUCUUGUUGGCCCUCCAAACCCUUGUGAUCUCUCUCUUUUCCAAGAUUCACUUUCCCAUUAUUAUAUAUAUACAUACAUACACUUAACCCUCAUCCCAUCCCCCUAGACAACCUCUCUCUCUCUCUCAGCUACCCAACGUGUUUUGUUUUCUCCACACUUCGGAAUGAAAAGAGCAGCGUACUACAGUUGCGUACCCCAAAUGCAGGAUCAUUGGCCUAUCAAGAAGGCUCUGACAUUGUCAGAUGUAGAUAUCACUCAUCCAUUCCUCACUUUGUCUAGGCAACAAGUGGAGAAUCACAUUGUGUUGCAUAUGACAACAGAACAACAGGAGCAUUUGAGAGCCCAAGGCCAAGUAGAUUUUAAUGCCCGAGAUGAUGAUACAGGUGAGAUGUAUGUGAUGAAGUUGAAAUGGCGGGGAAGCUAUUACAAUCUUAUUGGUAAGUGGGGCAGAGUGGUACGAGGGAAAGGACUUGAUGUUGGGCAAGAGAUUAAAAUACGUUGGGAAAAUGGAUGCUUGCACUUCUCAGUCCCACAGCAGCAGAUUGUUGCAGUCCCACCAAUUCGGAUGGUUGCAGCACCAGUAGUGCAGGACCACUGGCCCAUUAAGAAGAUCUUGACACUCUCUGAUGUGGACACUAAUCAUCCAUUUCUCCCUCUGCCCCGCCGAUUAGUUGAGGAUCAUAUUCUUGUGUAUUGGACACCUCAGCAACAAGAACAGCUGAGGAAGGAGGAGCAUGUGAAUGUAAAUGCCCGAGAUUAUGAUACUGGCGAAGGUUAUAUAAUGAAAUUUAAGUGGAGGGGGAAUUACUAUAACCUUAUUGGGAAAUGGGGAACAAUAAUUCGGCAGAAGGGACUUGGUGUUGGGAAAGAGAUCAGGUUGCGCUGGGCAAAUGAAUGCUUGUUCUUCUCAGUUCCCCAGGAGCGGUAUGUUGCCACAGCCUCGGGGAUGGAUAACUGGCCUAUUAAGAAGGCACUUACAUUGUCUGAUGUGGAUACCAAUCAUCCAUUUCUUACUUUGCCCGGCAAGGCUGUUGAAGAUCAUAUUCUUUUUUACUGGUCACAGCAAUCCAGAGAACAACUGAGAAGUGAACAUCAGAUGAAUAUCAAUGCUCGAGAUGAUGACACUGGUGAUGCCUAUUUGAUGAAGUUGAGAUGGCGGGGAAGUUACUAUAAUCUCAUUGGAAAAUGGGGAAAAAUCAUUAGAGGGAAGAAACUUCAGGUUGGAAUGGAGAUCAGACUACGCUGGGAUAAUGGAUGCUUAUUCUUUUCAGUUCCUCAGUUAUAGCAUUGGUCAACAUGUGAAUGUAGCUAACCACCAAACUGCUUUUCCCAUUUCAACAUGGAAUGUGCACUAGAAAUUGAACUAUUUCAGCUGAAUGGCUUGGCAGAGCUGGAUUUAAAUCUAUCCAGGCAGCAAGUAACUGAUCAAGCACAAAUUUUAUCAGGCACUAAGAUGGGCUGGGAUAGUGCGCCAACUUUUUCUCAAGUCCUUGCUCCAUUUUUUUUUAUCAGGGAAAACAGUUUCAUUUCAUAAAUCAAAGGCCAAAAUCAGCCGUAUACCUAAGAGUAAGGAAGCUACAAAAAGAUAUGGUUCUCUAUAAAAGACAUCUGAUCCUCUAUACAACAGGGAAGGGUGCACCCAAAAUAAAUAAGGGAUUGGAGACUGCUCCGCAACUGCACAAAACUCAAUUUUAUCCCUUCAAAAGCCCUCUCAUUUUUCUCUCUCCAAAUGAUCCACGGCAAAGCCAGAGGAAUAACAUUCCAUGCCUGCUCUUCCUCCUGCUUCUUCCAGCUUUCCAGGAAAACACAGAUCCUUCGCUGGAUUUGCAUCACCCAGAGACAUACAAGACCAACUGAACAUAUUCCACCAGAGUCUCAAGGCCAGACUGCAGUAUAGUAGGUUGCAGUGUGGUAGAAGAUGAUUUGCCUCCUUGCGUAAGUAACACCAGCUGAUACAAACAACCUUCCUUUUCAGAAGGUUUUCUGCAGUUAAAAUCACUGCUCUAGCAGCUAAUAAUGUGAAUAAGUACACCUUCCUAGGCACCUUAGGUAUCCAAAUUGACUUUACAUGAAAAACCUUCUCUGCUUUCACCAAAAGCUUUUCGUAAAAGGACUUGACAGGAAAAAUGUUUUUGUUCCCGAACUUCCAUCUCAUGGUAUCAGCUAUUUCAACUGGCUCACAAUGCUCUCGAGUCCCUGUUCAUUUGUUGUUCCAACAUUCUAGCAGCUCAGAUAGAUGACUAGUGUUCCUUAACAUUCACAAUUGCAUUUGAUUGUGCUGAUUCAAUGACUUAUCCAGCUUAAUCAUUUCCUUCUAAAAUCCCAUUUCAAAGAAUUUUUUGAACAAAAAAACCCAGCUUUACAUUGUCAUGUUUUGCCAUUGUCGAGUUUGCACAUUAUACCUAGUUUGUGUUCCCUCCUCCAGCUGUCUAAGCAUUCAUUUGCUAUGAGCACCGCAUCUAUAAUUUGUCUCCUUUUAAUAAGUUCCAUCAACCUGUUUGGUAACUACUUUUUUAAUCUUUCCGUGGGGCGCUUUGCAAACAUCUUAUAGAAACUAUCAACAUGACUGAUAGGUCUAAAAGAUCCAAAGAUCAGUAUGAUUUGUGAAUUGAACUCCUGGAACUCCCAUCUUUUCGUGGUUUCGAUCUAGAUUGCCUUCCAACGAUGAUGUUCAAGGAACACGCACACAAGCACAUACAAAAUGUUACUCCCUUUGUCCCAUUUUAUAUGACAGACUUCCCUUUUUAGUAUGUCCCAAAAAAAAUUCACACAUUUCUAUAGUAGAAGCAAUUUAACUCUUAAUGACAUGAUUUUAUAGCACCAUAGAAAUAUCAUUUUAAAACAAAAAGUUUCUCGAGUCUUUAUUUCUUUCGUAACACUUCGUGUCCUGUACCGCCACAGAAAAUGGGAUGGAGAGUAAUAUUUUCUUGGAAGUUGGGUGGGGGUAUCAAUGUGGAGAAAAUUUGUUCGCAGUCCCAAACAGUGUGUUUCCAAUCUCUCUCCCACUUCUGCACAGGACCAAAGCAAAUACGAAUGUUGACCAAACAAGGUUUGGGUUGGUGUGUUACUGUUGGAGAAAUUUGCUCAGUCCCAGAUGUUGCAUUCUCUAACCUGCCACUUGUCUAGCAGACCAAUUGAAGACAAAUGUGGGAUGAAACAGUACUUUCUGUGAGAGGACAGUUUGGUCUUUUGAUUUCUUUUCUUUGCAAAUUUAUUUAUUUGUUACUCAAACUAGAUUAUUUUGGUCCAUUUCCUGCUUGUUGAUAAUACUUAUAUAGUGGCAUUCAUUUGUUUUUUUUCCCCUAAAUAAUUUUUGUCUAAGAUAUUUGUAAAUAUUCUAUAAUUUAUGCCUUAGAUCAGGGAAUACACAAUA